GCAAACUUGGUCAUUUAGAGGAAGUAAAAGUCGUAACAAGGUUUCCGUAGGUAAGUGGAAAAUAAUAGUUUAUUAAUUUCACCUACUAUUUACUUCUUACUAUCUUUCUAUGCUUGAAUAAUAAUGUGCUGACUUUUCUCUUUUAGGUGAACCUGCGGAAGGAUCAUUAUAGAGUGGUAAACCCCCUAUAAAAAGGGGGUGACCCCCCGUCCUUUGCAGGCCCUUUUUUAAGGGGCUUUUUUGACUUUCUGCUUCGGUGGGAUUAUCCCACCGGAACAACCUCAAAACUCUGAUGAAAAAACCUUUCUGUCUGAGAACCUUUUUUAUAAUAAAAAAAACUUUCAACAACGGAUCUCUUGGUUCUGGCAUCGAUGAAGAACGCAGC
rnacentral:misc_RNA from 1 species